rnacentral:rRNA from 1 species
AUACGUAGGGGGCGAGCGUUGUCCGGAAUUACUGGGCGUAAAGGGCGCGUAGGCGGAUAUGCAAGUCCGAUGUGAAAGACUUCGGCUUAACCGAGGAGCUGCACUGGAAACUGCAUAUCUAGAGUGCAGGAGAGGGAAGCGGAAUUCCUAGUGUAGCGGUGAAAUGCGUAGAUAUUAGGGGGAACACCAGUGGCGAAGGCGGCUUCCUGGACUGUAACUGACGCUGAGGCACGAAAGCUGGGGGAGCAAACAGGAUUAGAUACCCUGGUAGUCCCAGCCGUAAACGAUGGGUACUAGGUGUUGCUGUCGUUAAGGCGGCAGUGCCGGAGCUAACGCAAUAAGUACCCCGCCUGGGGAGUACGGCCGCAAGGCUGAA